UUAGGUACUAUAUUUUGGGCACACAAACACCACGGCGGUUGCUCGUGUUUGAACAGGUGUUUGUAUUUGUUUAAAAUGUAAUUAAAUUAGACGUAGUCUGUAGGAAAAAAAAAAUCGUUUUAUCGCCAUCCUGCGAUAAUACGACGCCGCCAACGCCGAGCCGCGCCGCACCGUAGUGAAUUUUUAAUAACAACAAAAUGUAUUCCCGACCGGAUAGUGGACUAUAAAUAUAGUAGUCCGCGUGAAAUACGAAAUAAUAGUCGUAUUUUCGAGGGGGCGGAAAAAAUCCAUCGGAUAUACCUCCGUACCGAGGUUAGGUCACUGUUGUAGAUGGGUGUUAAUAGUGUAACCGCACAAACCCAAAACCGAAAAAGUACAAAAUUAUAUUUACGACGGAAUAUAGAAAUUUAAAUUUGAAAAUCUUUCCCGUCCGUUCACCGUGUUAAAAAUUUUAAUACUCAGCAAUUACACGUAUAGUCUCAUGCAACUUGUGACUUGCAGCACGUUGAAUUUCGGUUUCAGUUACUUACGUGUUUUAGCUUAAUCGACUAUCAAGCCACUAAAUCGACUGGUUAAGAUUCAGUAGCACUCGUGAGCGGCGUGAGAACACGAAUCGAGCACUAGUGGUUACAUGCCCACAGCAUUUACACUGUAGAGCAUUAGAAAAGUGGCAAAACGGCUUCACCCGUAACGGGUUGUUAACCAAUUGAAAACAUUUUCUUAUAUUAUAGUCGGCUGUUCUGUUGUUCCAUAUAUAAGUACCCCCGCGCACGCCCCCGUCAAUUUGUUUUGACUGAAGCAUUUUGAAGAUUUAAAGUCUUCCGGUGGAAACCGAGUUAACGGGCAGAAAAAAAAAACACGCGCACUCACAAGCACAUCACCUUAUAGUAAAACCGAUAGAUUUCUCUCGCUCUGCCAACGGAAUCUAAUACGGUAAUGUUUUUGUUUGU